rnacentral:rRNA from 1 species
GAAUUCAACUCCUACGGGAGGCAGCAGUGGGGAAUUUUGGACAAUGGGGGCAACCCUGAUGCAGCCAUGCCGCGUGUGUGAAGAAGGCCUUCGGGUUGUAAAGCACUUUCAGCGAGGAGGAAAGGUUGAUGCCUAAUACGUAUCAACUGUGACGUUACUCGCAGAAGAAGCACCGGCUAACUCCGUGCCAGCAGCCGCGGUAAUACGGAGGGUGCAAGCGUUAAUCGGAAUUACUGGGCGUAAAGCGCACGCAGGCGGUUGGAUAAGUUAGAUGUGAAAGCCCCGGGCUCAACCAGGGAAUUGCAUUUAAAACUGUCCAGCUAGAGUCUUGUAGAGGGGGGUAGAAUUCCAGGUGUAGCGGUGAAAUGCGUAGAGAUCUGGAGGAAUACCGGUGGCGAAGGCGGCCCCCUGGACAAAGACUGACGCUCAGGUGCGAAAGCGUGGGGAGCAAACAGGAUUAGAAACCCUAGUAGUCCAGGCGUU